rnacentral:tRNA from 1 species
GCAUCAGUAGUUAAGUGGUAAAAUACUCUCCUGCCACACGGGCGGCCCGGGUUCGAUUCCCAGCCGAUGCA